CUUGAUAGAAAAAUUUUCCUCUCCCCUCUCUCUCUUGUAUAGUACUCUUCUCUCUUCUUGCUUUAUCCCCUAUCCCCCGAACCUCAAUUAAUCUAGGGUUUCAUAGCUCCUGAUUUUUGGAAAGUAUGGCAUGCUUGAUCAUUGGAGAGUAGCCCUCCACUGUUAGGCUCCUCCUCUACGGCAAUAGUGUCAACAACCUUCUUGGCUGACCUCCUUCUUUCCUCAUCUUCCUCUAUAACUUUCUCAAAUUCCAUCUUGUUGGCGACCUCAUUUAAUGUAAGUGUAGGUGAGUCCGAUGACCCUCACUUUCAACUCAACGUCUAAGAUCUAUAAGGGGGUUGUUUUCAGUUGCUAGAUCCUUUAUGUAGUGGGAUCAUAUUCUUUGAUCUUGAUUUUUUUUUGUGAUAGGAUUAGUGCUAGGUUGGUUAAUGAAGAUUUAUUUGAUGAGAAUUCUUGCAAGUAUAUGACUAUGUAAUGGCUCGCAAGCCCCCAAUUCUAAACCAUGUGACCAUAUUUGAGGAAAAAGAUGAUGAUGAUUGGACGAUAAACGAUGGUGGAAAAAGGCUAUUAUUAGAGUCAUAAUAAUUUAUGUGUUUUAAGCUAUUUAGCGAGACUUAAAGAUUCAAAAUUGGGGAAAAC
rnacentral:lncRNA from 1 species